rnacentral:lncRNA from 1 species
CGGGGGGCGGCGCCUACGCAAUGCACGUUACGCCGCGGUGGAAGGGGUGAAGCUCUGCGCACGAGGCCCCGAGGAGCGGGAAACGGGAUGCCCGUGGGUGUCACCGCCACAGCGGCCGCACCGUGCGUGGCUCUGUUUCCUGGAAACGUCCAGAACAGGCAGCCCCCGAGACAGGGAGGGGCCCAGCGGUCGCCAGGGGAAGUGGGGAUGGGAAUGAGUGCGGAUGGGGCUGAGGUUCUUCCUGAAGGAUGAAUGCUCUGAAACUGUGAAUAGACACACGGAACUGUGCACGUUCACGGGUGAACCGUGUGGGGAGUGAAUCCAUCUCAACAGAGCUGUUACACAGUGAACAAGAGCACGAGGGGUGGAGGCCGCUUGUCUGCCCCGCCGUGAGCUGCCCGCAUGGCCGGGCCGUGGGCCGAGGCUCCAGCUCGGGCCUCACGGGCUGCAGAUGCUGGGCCGAGGCUGCUCAGCGGCUGUCCUGCCCCACACAGGAGUCUCUGGGGCUCGGGGUCUCCCAGGCCCUGGGGACAGUCGCUGGGUGGGACGGGAGGCUUGGGACCGGCCUGUCAGGCCUCUACCCUGGGGGCAGUGGUGGGCUGAGAGCUGGAGGGGUGGGGACUCCCCAUAGCCCCGCCUGCCCCCGCCCGCUGCCUGGCGCACCUCGGACAGCCUGAGGCCCAGCAUCUGCUCCUGCAGAUCGAGCCGGCUGCUCAGAGCCGGGAGAUGGCCACUCAGCUCCUUUAACUGCCCGGCCAGCUGCGCCACGGAUGCCUCCAGAGCCCGGCUCUUCUCUCGGAGCUGCAGGGGACAGGUGGGCACGGGGAGGCCUGGCUGAGCGCCCAUCCCGUGUGCGUGGGAGACCCCGUUGGGGACAUGUUGCGCUACCCCCUCACCAGCACCAGCUCUCCAUGCAUCUCCUGCCGGGCCAGCUCGCCAGCCAGCUGUGCGGCCUCCAGGUUCUCCUGCACAUAGGCGGCCAGCUCCCCAGCCCGGCUUUCCUCCAAGCGCCCCUUGGCGUCCCUAGGGGUUGGGGACACAUAGACACCCUCAGUGGAGCCUGCCCACCUCUCAGCCCUGGGCCAGGGAGGGGAGCUUGGCUGCUGGCUCCAGAACCUCCCAGGAGACCCUGGGAUCGGAAGAUGGGGUGCGGUCACAGUGCCACCAACACGGGUUCACUCCCCAUGGCCACCAAGAUGGGCGUUCACUCCCCACGGCCACCAAGACAGGGGUUCCCUCCCCAUGGCCACAGCUGAGUGCCCCAGGGAGGGCAGGCUGGGUGAGGGACAGGAGGCCCCACAGGAGGGAGGAGGGUUCGCACCAUCCAGCUGCAGCCCUCGGGGUCGAGCACUCUGCUCGGGGGAGGCAAGGUCAUUCCCUGCUGAGUCGGCCACUGCGGCCCCCUCCUGAGUGGGACAUCAGGGGUCCCCCCGCCUGACAGCACCUGAGGCCCCAGGACACCCACCAGGCUUUCUCCUCGGCCAGUAGGACACGGUUCAGCGACGCCUGGUUCUGCUGCACAAACUUGGUCAGCUGGGCCACGGCAGCAUCCAGGCCCUGGCACUGCUCCAGGAGGUGGCUCUCCUGCCAGGGGGUGGAGGCCGCCCUGAGACCUGCACCCCGGCCCCGGCCCCACCUGCCCGCCGCCCGCCCGGCCCCACCUCAUGCUGCCCCUGCAGGGCCCGCAGGCGCUCCUCCAUCAGCCCCCGAAGCUUCUCCCACCGGCUCUCCAGCUCGCCCCGCAGGCUGCCCUCCAGCUUCAGCCGUGAGCUCUCCGAGGCCUUCAUUCUCUGUGGGGAGACCCCACUGUCAGCUGCAGGUCUGCGUCUGGGAAGGGGGGCAGGGCAGGCCAGCCGCGGGCAGGCUCCCACCUUCUCCAGGGCCAGGAAGCUCUUCUGCAGGAAGCCGCACAGCUUGGCCUCCCUCUUCAGGAAGCGCAGGCUCACCUCUUCGCCGAGCUUGGUCACCUGGGCCUGGGGCGGAGGCACAUUGUCCCGUGUGCAGCCUCUGCUGGACACGCAGCCGGUCCCCCUCCUGCCCAUGGUCUCCAUCAGAGUUGGAGUCCCCUGCUGUCCCCAAGCCCUGAGCCCGGCUGAGCUGGGCCUGCCACACCCUCAGCCGGAAGAAAGCCACGGCGGGCAGGACCACUCUGUACCCAGACG